CCACAAGUUAGCUAACAUUACUAAGUUUGUACACAUGUAGAAGAAUGGCUUCUCCCAGAUGUCUCACAAGUCCUCCUGGAUGGCAGAGACAUUUUCAAGAAGACUUCCACUCCUGAUUUGAAUGAAUUCAUUGACACUGAUGUGAACUGCCAAGUUGAAAACAUGGA